UGUCGGGAUACGGAACGGCUACGAUUAGUGACCCUCGAAGUUUGCGCCCUUCGACUGGAUCAAGCGAUUCGGCUGAUGAGGGAUCGGAUCAGCUGAGUUCAAAAGACUUUUUACUGUUGACUCGAUUCGGCUGUCAGAACCGAUCGUACGAAAAACACAGGGUUCUGAGUCGGCUGAUGAGCCGAAUGCCUUUAUAUAUUGGAGUUAACUUGUAAAAACAGUAUAAGGGACGAGUGUGCCUGAGGGCAUACAGACUCGGUUGAUCUACCUUAAAUCUACUCCUAGAAAAACGGUAAAUGCGAGAAAGUAAAAGAUUACAAGUAGGCUACUAGAAAAUACGAGGAAAUUGUAGAGGAAUAAAGGUGGUCUUCUAUUCUCGGGGAAAAGACCUCUUUUCUGGGCGUUAUUUGCCUAUUUAUAGAUCGGCCCUGUUGAUCCGUUUUUCCCCAUCCAUGAUCGGCCACUACUCCUAUUUUUUCGGGCCAUUUCCAGCCGAUCGAAACCGCUCGCAAUUACUGUAACAUCCCUCAAUUAUACCCGGCAGGUACUCAAUAUUCUUAUUGAUGCUUCCGGUGCACAUCAAAAUCUUAUUUAAUCUUUGCUUUUUAAAUAUUAGGGUUGAGUGGAGCACCAGCGUACCACCUGGCUGCACGUUAUUGGCCCAACAAAAAGGAUUAAAGUCUAGGCGAGUAUUUAAAUUAUCAUGAGGUUAAUUUAAAGUAGCAUGUAGUUAAGAACUUUAUUUGUAAAUUUAACUAUUUUUGUAUAUCACAAGGAUUGAGAUUGAUUACUUUUAGGGCAUGUUUGGUUUAUGAUUGGAAUAGGAAUGGAAAAUAAAAUUGGAUUACUUUGGAAUGGGAAUGGAAUGUCGAAUCAUCCAAAAAUGUUUGGUUCAUUAUUGGAAUGGAAAUCGGAAUGAAAAUUUAAAUUUUUUGAGAGAGGGUUUUAAUUAAAAGAGAGAAAAGUGAUGAAGGGAAAGGAGAUAGGUGUUGAUGAAAGAGAACUUUGAAUAGUUUAUUUUGGAAUGAGCCAAUCUGGAAUUCAAAGCCGGAUUGGAUUAUAAAUGGAUUUGGCCAUUUCCAUUCCGGAGUGGAAUGGAAAUCGGAAUCCGAUUUCUAUAAAAUAAACGGCAACUAUGGAAAUUAAUGAAUUUCAUUCCAAUUUCAUAGUGUAAAAUAGGUGAACCAAACAUAUCCUCAAUGUCGAAAUUAGUAUCUCCAAUUAUUAUACUUGAAAUUCAAACUGCACCAGUCGAAUGUAAUAAUAUCACAAUUGGAGGGAUGCGAACAAAACCUUCCCGUUCCAAAACCCCUUAAAACGCCCACAGUUUCGACUGGGAUCCACAAUUCUCAAGUCCACGCGGCACGAAGAAAACUGCUUGAAUCUCUCGGCUUUUGUAGUAUACUAGUGAGGUUACCACACAAUCCGGCGGAUUACUACUAUAAAAAAUAAAAAAAAUUAAUAAAAUAAUAAUUUUUAAAGUUUUUGAGUUGUAAUGAAACAUCAAUAAUAAAUAGCAUGAGAAAAAUAUAUAUAUAUAUAUUUUUUGAAAAUAAUUUAUUUAUAUUAUAAUAGAUCAUAUAAAUAAAUUAAUUAGAAAGUAAGCAAGUGAGAUGAUAAAAUAUCAGAUGGAGAUAGGAAAUGGGAAGAUGAA
rnacentral:lncRNA from 1 species